rnacentral:rRNA from 1 species
GAUGAACGCUGGCGGCGUGCCUAAUACAUGCAAGUCGAGCGAACGGACGAGAAGCCUGCUUCUCUGAUGUUAGCGGCGGACGGGUGAGUAACACGUGGAUAACCUACCUAUAAGACUGGGAUAACUUCGGGAAACCGGAGCUAAUACCGGAUAAUAUUUUGAACCGCAUGGUUCAAAAGUGAAAGACGGUCUUGCUGUCACUUAUAGAUGGAUCCGCGCUGCAUUAGCUAGUUGGUAAGGUAACGGCUUACCAAGGCAACGAUGCAUAGCCGACCUGAGAGGGUGAUCGGCCACACUGGAACUGAGACACGGUCCAGACUCCUACGGGAGGCAGCAGUAGGGAACCUUCCGCAAUGGGCGAAAGCCUGACGGAGCAACGCCGCGUGAGUGAUGAAGGUCUUCGGAUCGUAAAACUCUGUUAUUAGGGAAGAACAUAUGUGUAAGUAACUGUGCACAUCUUGACGGUACCUAAUCAGAAAGCCACGGCUAACUACGUG